GACGAACGCUGGCGGCGUGCCUAAUACAUGCAAGUCGAACGAAGCUGUUUUAACUGGUGCUUGCACCGACUUAAACAACUGAGUGGCGAACGGGUGAGUAACACGUGGGUAACCUGCCCCAAAGCGGGGGAUAACAUUUGGAAACAGAUGCUAAUACCGCAUAACCACAGAAACCACAUGGUUUCUGUGUAAAAGAUGGUUUCGGCUAUUCAUUUGGGAUGGACCCGCGGCGUAUUAGAUAGUUGGGAAGGUAAUGGCUUACCAAGGCAAUGAUACGUAGCCGAACUGAGAGGUUGAUCGGCCACAUUGGGACUGAGACACGGCCCAAACUCCUACGGGAGGCAGCAGUAGGGAAUCUUCCACAAUGGACGAAAGUCUGAUGGAGCAACGCCGCGUGAGUGAAGAAGGUUUUCGGAUCGUAAAACUCUGUUGUCAGAGAAGAACGUGUGCGAGAGUCACUGCUCGUGCAGUGACGGUAUCUGGCCAGAAAGCCACGGCUAACUACGUGCCAGCAGCCGCCGUAA
rnacentral:rRNA from 1 species